UUUAAUCGGGAGGAAUACCUGGAAGAUAAUACCUUUCAGACUGACAUUACCGAUAGAAAAAGCACCGGCUAACUCCGUGCCAGCAGCCGCGGUAAUACGGAGGGUGCAAGCGUUAAUCGGAAUUACUGGGCGUAAAGCGUGCGUAGGUGGCCUGUUAAGUCAGAUGUGAAAGCCCUGGGCUUAACCUGGGAACGGCAUUUGAAACUGGCAAGCUAGAGUUGAGUAGAGGGGGGCGGAAUUUCCGGUGUAGCGGUGAAAUGCGUAGAUAUCGGAAGGAACACCCGUGGCGAAGGCGGCUCCCUGGACUCAAACUGACGCUGAGGUACGAAAGCGUGGGUAGCAAACAGGAUUAGAUACCCUGGUAGUCCACGCUGUAAACGAUGUCAACUAGCCGUUGGUCCUUCAAGGAGGAUUAGUGGCGCAGCUAACGCAUAAAGUUGACCGCCUGGGGAGUACGGCCGCAAGGUUAAAACUCAAAUGAAUUGACGGGGG
rnacentral:rRNA from 1 species